GAUGUACUCCCUCCGUUCCAAAUUACUCGUCGCAGAAAUGGAUGUAUCUAGAACUAAAAUACAUCUAGAUACAUCCAUACCUGCAACAAGUAAUUCGGAACGGAGGGAGUAUAUA
rnacentral:pre_miRNA from 1 species